GACGAACCGUGCGAACGUUGUUCGGAUUCACUGGGCUUAAAGGGCGCGUAGGCGGGUCGGUCCGUCUGGGGUGAAAUCCUCUCGCUUAACGAGAGAACGGCCCUGGAUACCACCGAUCUCGAGGGAGGUAGGGGCAUGUGGAACUUCCGGUGGAGCGGUGAAAUGCGUUGAUAUCGGAAGGAACGCCGGUGGCGAAAGCGAGCUGCUGGACCUCUUCUGACGCUGAGGCACGAAAGCCAGGGGAGCAAACGGG
rnacentral:rRNA from 1 species